CAUCUAAAGCCGAAACACUGUUCUUCGCCACUGUUCAUUCAACUGUUCAUUUAACAGUGAAAUGGCGGUUUUGCCCUCGAGCUGUAUGUGGAGAGAAAAAGGCCCGAGUUUUCUUCUGUGUUCUAGAAGCCUACAUCUACUACAAGCUUCGUUCCAUUUUCGGUUUUGUUCUCGGAUACAGACGCGGCGUGAAACGGAGUUAUCAAGCGUAUCGAUCAAGCUCUCAGAUAUAAAGGUCGCUGGGGUAGCAGAGAGAAGGGGAGAGAUCCAAGAUUUUCGUCCAAGCUUCGGGUCAUUGUGGUGGCAAAAAGAAGGGGAGGGAUCGAAGAUUGUGGUCGACUUCCGGAGGAAGGUUUGGGUUUGUUUUAUGAAUUUGAAUUUAGUUUCUUCUUCUCUGAUUGUAGCUUUUUCUGUAAACAAUUUUUUGAUGGUUGGCUUAUAGGUUGAAAAAGAUUGGGGGCGUUUCUCAGUUCGUGUAUAGUUGAGGAAAUCCAAAUUCAAAUCACAACCAUUAACAAGGGUGAAAAUUUGGUGUGUGCUUAAUCUAGAAUUUGUACAUAUUGAAGGAGCGGGGAUUUGCUUAAGAAUCAUAAGCAGUUGUGUCUUUGAAGGGCUGGUUGGAUAUCUCUGCGAAGUAGGCUUGGGUUCGUUUUGGAAGAGGUGUGUGCUGAGAUUGUGAUCGAGUUUAGGAGACGGGCUUUGGGAGCAAAAGAGGGUGCAGUGGAGAAACUUCGCCAAUGCUGCCUUGAAGAAAUUUGAGAUUACAAGCAUGGUGGAAAAGACCACUAAAGUUAGGAGAAUGAUAGAGGAAUUACAAAGAUACACUUUAAUUCAGUUAAGAAAAACAAAACCCCCGUAGCAUCGCGCGGGAAGGAUUAUCUAGUACAUAAUACUAAAGAUGGAGCCACUGUUCAUAACUGUUCAUGUAGCAGUGGAAUGACGGUUUUGCCCCCAACUUUUAACUAA